rnacentral:RNase_P_RNA from 1 species
CAGGUUGGUUGAAUGUGCGCGCUCUUCGCAGAGUGAGGAAAGUCCGUACACCACAGAGCAGGAUGCCAGGUAACACCUGGAGAGGCGUAAGCUUUUGGAUUAGGGCCACAGAAACAUACCGCGUUGCAAUACGUAAGGUUGAAAAGGUGGUGUAAGAGACCACCGGCGGGUUUGGUAACAAGCCCGGCUAGGUAACCCCCAUCCGGUGCAAGGUCAAACAGGAAAGAGAGUUGGCUCGGCUCAUCAGAUUUCCGGGUAGACCGCAAGAGCAGUUCGGUGACGUCCUGCCCAGAUAGAUGCGCAUUCUCGACAGAAUACGGCUUACAGACCAACCUGAACA